rnacentral:lncRNA from 1 species
UGCAAAAUAAUUAUUAUUUUAAUUUAUUCUUUCUGAAAACUUUUCAGAAGAGAACUCAAGAAAGUUAAAGAGAAUCAUGAAUGUACUUGGAAAAUGCUAGUCUGAUUUGUGAAUGUUUCUGCUCCCGCAGACCUCUGUUUACUGAACUGCAUCCAGCCCCAAUGAGCUUGGAGUGGAAGUGUGCCGGUUCAUUUGCCAGGUUUCCUCAUUAAUCUUCUGUUUUUCCUCGGGUGAGUCCAGCUCUGUUCCCAUUCAGCCUCAGGGCUGGGACUCUGGAAAAUAUCUUCUGAAUCUUCAACAGGUAUUCCUC